GGAGCGAAAGGGAUUAGAUACCCCUGUAGUCCUGGCCGUAAACGAUGAACACUAGGUGUCGGGGGAAUCGACCCCUUCGGUGUCGUAGCUAACGCGUUAAGUGUUCCGCCUGGGGAGUACGCACGCAAGUGUGAAACUCAAAGGAAUUGACGGGGGCCCGCACAAGCGGUGGAGUAUGUGGUUUAAUUCGAUGCAACGCGAAGAACCUUACCAGGGUUUGACAUCCUGCGAACCUCUUAGAAAUUUGAGGGUGCCUUCGGGAAUGCAGUGACAGGUGGUGCAUGGCUGUCGUCAGCUCGUGUCGUGAGAUGUUGGGUUAAGUCCCGCAACGAGCGCAACCCACGUUUUUAGUUGCCAGCAUUUAGUUGGGCACUCUAGAAAGACCGCCGGUGAUAAACCGGAGGAAGGUGUGGAUGACGUCAAGUCAUCAUGCCCCUUACACCCUGGGCUACACACGUACUACAAUGCUACGGACAAAGGGCAGCAAACUCGCGAGAGCUAGCAAAUCCCAUAAACCGUGGCUCAGUUCAGAUCGUAGGCUGCAACUCGCCUACGUGAAGUAGGAAUCGCUAGUAAUCGCAGGUCAGCAUACUGCGGUGAAUACGUUCCCGGGCCUUGUACACACCGCCCGUCACACCAUGGAAGUUGGCCAUGCCCGAAGUCGUUACUCCAACCCUUGUGGAGGAGGACGCCGAAGGUGGGGCUAAUGACUGGGGUGAAGUCGUAACAAGGUAGCCGUACCGGAAGGUGCGGCUG
rnacentral:rRNA from 1 species